AUCUGAUUGUACCUUUAUGUUCAACCUGAGUCUAUUGUCUUUAACCAACCAACAGUGAACGCAUGUGAUUCUGAGAAGGUGAGAAGAGCAGCCAAAGGCUGAGCCCGGGCUCCCACUGGGAAUUGCCCGAAUGGAAAGCUUCGCACCAGCAAUCCACGUAUCACUCGAACGUGCCAUGAACAAUAAUAUUUUGAUUAAUGGAUUCAAUCAAACAGAUUCUGGCUUAAGAAAUAAACCCCGUGUGUAUUCUUUUCUACAACUGAUGGGCUGCUUGAGACAUUGGAGAAGUAAGUCAAUAGCUCCUCUAGACAAGCUCGUUGGGAAAACUGCCUGGGCCAACAGGCAGUGAGAACUGUCGCUUCUGGCAAGGACUUCUCCAUGUUACAUCCAACUCUUGUUUUUUUUGACUGUUACCUACAAUUACAA
rnacentral:lncRNA from 1 species